rnacentral:rRNA from 1 species
UACGUAGGGUGCGAGCGUUAAUCGGAAUUACUGGGCGUAAAGCGUGCGCAGGCGGUUUUGUAAGUCAGAUGUGAAAUCCCCGGGCUCAACCUGGGAAUUGCGAUGGAGACUGCAAGGCUAGAAUCUGGCAGAGGGGGGUAGAAUUCCACGUGUAGCAGUGAAAUGCGUAGAGAUGUGGAGGAAUACCGAUGGCGAAGGCAGCCUCCUGGGCCAACACUGACGCUCAUGCACGAAAGCGUGGGGAGCAAACAGG